rnacentral:rRNA from 1 species
GAUGAACGCUAGCUACAGGCUUAACACAUGCAAGUCGAGGGGCAGCACAGUGUAGCAAUACACGGGUGGCGACCGGCGCACGGGUGCGUAACGCGUAUCCAAUCUUCCCGUUACUCUUGGAUAGCCUUCCGAAAGGGAGAUUAAUACAAGAUGGUAUUCAAAUUCCGCAUGUUAUUUGAAUUAAAGAUUUAUCGGUAACGGAUGGGGAUGCGUGACAUUAGGUAGAUGGCGGGGUAACGGCCCACCAUGCCUACGAUGUCUAGGGGUUCUGAGAGGAAGGUCCCCCACACUGGAACUGAGACGCGGUCCAGACUCCUACGGGAGGCAGCAGUGAGGAAUAUUGGUCAAUGGCCGGAAGGCUGAACCAGCCAAGUAGCGUGAAGGAUGAAGGUUCUAUGGAUUGUAAACUUCUUUUAUAUAGGAAUAAAGCCCACUACGUGUAGUGGUUUGUAUGUACUAUAUGAAUAAGCAUCGGCUAACUCCGUGCCAGCCGCCGCGGUAAUAC